UACGUAGGGCGCAAGCGUUAUCCGGAAUUAUUGGGCGUAAAGGGCUCGUAGGCGGUUUGUCGCGUCGGGAGUGAAAACGCCGUGCUUAACACGGCGCUUGCUUUCGAUACGGGCAGACUAGAGGUAUGCAGGGGAGAACGGAAUUCCUGGUGUAGCGGUGAAAUGCGCAGAUAUCGAGAGGAACACCUGCGGCGAAGGCGGGUUGCUGGGCUGACACUGACGCUGAUGUGCGAAAGCUAGGGGAGCGAACGGG
rnacentral:rRNA from 1 species